rnacentral:lncRNA from 1 species
GUUCAGAACUGAAAACUAUAUUAUCUAAAAAACUUGGGGAGCUUUCCUUCAUAAAUAGUAACAAAAAACAAAUUAAUUUGGUGUCUCUCAGUCUCUACGGCACACCGCUUACUGCAAACCGUUCUCAAAUUUUCCUUUCAAGGUAUUUGAGCCUUCUCUUUCUUCUUUUGAAUUUAAUUCUGAAUUCGCAAUAAUUUUCUAUUUUAAAUUUUACGAUAGAUCUAUCUGCUCUUGCGCCAUAGUUUUGUGACCUGAUGUGUAGAUCGAUUUUAUAAUUUAUUCCUAUUGUUGAAAGAAAAUUCUAGGGGAGUGUUGAUGAUCUUUCAUUGAUAUUGGAUCUGUUUAAUCAUGUAUCAACUCUCUCAAGAAGUAUUUUGUUACAUUCCAGAAUUCUAUGCUCAAGUCUCCUUGCGAUCUGUUGGCUUCCCCCUAAAUCUUGUGUUUUGGUCCUGCAUAUAAUUUGUUGUUAAGAGAGUUCCCCGUUUUGAUAAUUAUUUGGCUUAUAUUUAUUGGAUUGAGAAUUUAUGUGAUUCACUGUCUGAGUUUCUUUGUUUUUAGACGAAUCGGAUAAAUUCUUCUGUGGAGGUUUCUAAAUGUUGUUUAUUAUAUCCUAAUUCCAAUGAUUUUGGCUCUGUAUCUGUCAUUUUUGUGGUUCGAUUUGCCAUUUUUGUCAAUAAUUUUAUAUGUUAGUGAUAAAAAAUUUUGUACUAUUUAAUUUUAUUUUUAGAAUAUAACGAGAUAAAUUUUGAUAGGGUCUUGUUUCUUGUUCUAACUUUAGAGAUGCAGAUUUUCGUGAAAACCUUGACUGGCAAGACUAUCACCCUCGAAGUGGAAAGCUCGAUACCAUUGACAACAUAAGAAUAAGGAGGGUAUUCCACCCGACCAACAGAGGCUCAUCUUCGUUGGUAAGCAACUUGAGGAUGGCCGUACCUUCGCAGACUACAACAUCCAGAAAGAGUCUACUCUGCACUUGGUACUUAGGUUGAGGGGAUGGAUUCAAAUUUUUGUCAAGGCUUUGACCGGAAAGACUAUCACUUUGGAAGUGGAGAGUUCUGACACCAUUGACAAUGUGAAGGCUAAGAUUCAGGACAAAGAGGGUAUUCCACCAGACCAGCAGCGAUUGAUCUUUGCUGGGAAAUAGCUGGAGGAUGGAAGGACCCUGGCCGACUACAACAUCCAAAUGGAGUCUACCCUCCAUCUUGUCCUCCGUGGUGGUUUUUGAUUUGCAGGUGGUGAUGUGUGGUCUUUGGUGUCGUCUCUACAGUGUCUGUUCCGUGGUUGUUUUAGCCAUUUUUGAAUGGCUUAUUUCAAACUUUAAUAUCUGAUGUUCUUGUUGCUUGUCGUGCCAGUUAUGUUUGUUUUUAAGCAUGGAACUAUGGAAGUUCAUGGGGCUUCCUUCCAUUUAUGAUUAUGAAAGAUCAUUUUUGCACAUUCUCAGUCUGAAUUAGUUUAUACAUUUUUACUUAUUUGUUUGAUGAAUACUAACAGCAUGCAAUAACUGAUGAUUGUUAUUUAUCAUGGAUGGAUUUUGUUCUUAUAAUAUUUCUGAAAGAUGAUUCUGAUUGUGGACUGCUUUUUGUCCUUAUUGUUAAGAUGAUGAUUCUGGGAUGAUUUAAUGGUGGAGAACAGAAGGAAGUGGCAGCAACCAUUCUGGAGUGGUUGAGAUUCUUCAUUCUUGGAUGAUUUUCUUAUUUCCAUUGUAAUUUACUGAUUAUGGCCAUGGUUUUCUCACGUUCUCUAUCAGUAGCCUAAGAAAGUCACCGACUGAUGUAUUUUUUUAGUAUAAAUUGACUCUCUUUUCAGUAUAUAGAUAUAGAUUAAUUUCAAGCUUGUCUAUUGUUCAGUUAAGUUGCACUUUUUUUAACGUUGUUAAGGGAACCAAGAAGUUGUCCAUUGAAACUUACAUGUAAUAUAUACAUGCAUAUAUUGUCG